UCGGGAAUUUUGGGCAAUGGGCGAAAGCCUGACCCAGCAACGCCGCGUGAAGGAUGAAGUAUUUCGGUAUGUAAACUUCGUAAGAAUAGGAAGAAUAAAUGACGGUACUAUUUGUAAGGUCCGGCUAACUACGUGCCAGCAGCCGCGGUAAUACGUAGGGACCAAGCGUUGUUCGGAUUUACUGGGCGUAAAGGGCGCGUAGGCGGUGUGUCAAGUCAGUUGUGAAAUCUCCGAGCUUAACUCGGAACGGUCAACUGAUACUGUCACACUAGAGUACAGAAGGGGCAAUCGGAAUUCUUGGUGUAGCGGUGAAAUGCGUAGAUAUCAAGAGGAACACCUGAGGCGAAGGCGGGUUGCUGGGCUGAUACUGACGCUGAGGCGCGAAAGCGUGGGGAGCAAACAGGAUUAGAUACCCAAGUAGUCCCUGAGCGGGCUGGCAAGGCGCAU
rnacentral:rRNA from 1 species